UACGUAGGGGGCAAGCGUUGUCCGGAUUUAUUGGGCGUAAAGAGCGUGUAGGCGGCCAGGUAGGUCCGUUGUGAAAACUCGAGGCUCAACCUCGAGACGUCGAUGGAAACCAUCUGGCUAGAGUCCGGAAGAGGAGAGUGGAAUUCCUGGUGUAGCGGUGAAAUUCGUAGAUAUUCGGAAGAACACCAGUGGCGAAGGCGGCUCACUGGCCCGGUACUGACGCUGAAAUACGAAAGCGUGGGGAGCAAACAGG
rnacentral:rRNA from 1 species